CCCGGUCGGGUUGGCGCAGGAGUCGCAUGUGUGCCGUCCCGUCCCACCCCCCCCAACACACACCUUCACCUCUUUUUUAUGUUUGCCAUUGAUCCAGCUCUGAUCAUUGGCGCUUGUGUCCCAUGGACACUGCUCCAGUAAGUACGCUGACUCCUCCGAGUCUGUUUUGGUGCUCAGCCUCUCUACACUAGGCCUCCACCAGCCCGUGCUGGGGCAAGCCACCUUCUCACACUGCUCUGGCUGCAGCAGGGAACUCACUUCCGGUUCCUCCCUCGUAUUGUCCUGUGGCAGGUUUAAACCAGUGCCUGUGUUCUGCCCUGUAAAUCGGUGCCGGCAUGCACUUACGAGGUAUGCCCAUGCCAGAGGCAUGUGCUCACUCCCUUCUUCCGCUGCUGGCAGCCCAUUGGAUUGUGAUCCUGGCGUCUGUGCAAUUCUUUAAAAGUGGUCAUGACAGCUGGAUCCUGAUUCUGCACUGGUUACUACAAGGCCCUUGCUGUGAUUGCCAGACCCACCACAGCCACUGCUGGACCCACUGCCAUUGCAGCUGCUGUUCUUGCAGAUCCAGCUCAACAGAAGUCCCACUGUCUGGAUUCAGCCCAAGGCCUGAUGUGAAUUUGACACCUUUGCUGUAGGGUUUCAAGGUUAAAGUGAUUGUUUAAAGAAGGGUUUGAAUGCCACAGAGCUGGAGAAAACAUUUGAACCAAUUUGGAAAUAAAAUGUUGGUAAGAAGACUUGUAGAAUUCUCCACAGAAUCCCUCCAGUCCAGUUUAUUUGUUUACCUCUGGGAAAGCAGCAUCCUCCUUCCUCAAAAAUCCUGUAUUUAACCACCUUGUGGACAUCUCUGAAAAAGAUUACCCCUAUCUCCAACUUAAGUAUUCUCACCUACUUUCCCACAGUAGGAAGGAUGUUACUCAGUUCUAAACUGUACCUAACAAUCUCUUAAAACAUCUUGUUUAACUAAACAUUGUAUUAAUUGCAUCAAGAAAGGUUUGGAAUCUCUGGUUAAGGGAUUUAUUUUUCUCAGAACAUAUAAUCCUUUGUCAAAUCCCAGUAGCUGAGCACUUCCCAUUUUUGUCUUUCAGAUUGAAGUAUAAAGGUGAAGAAUGCUUUGCUCCCUCUUCCUUCCAAAGGAAGCUACUCAAAAUACUGUUCCUAAUAGACAAUAAUGAUUGGCAAUGAAAUUGACAGUAUGUAAAAAAAAUUGUGCCUCAUCCCAUUUGUUACCACAAAAGGGAAGUUAUACAGGAGUGGGGAAGAAAAAAGGAGCAUCUAUCAACUCUUAAACUAAGAUUUUAUUCAUGCAAUUGUACAGCUAUAAUUAUGUAUGGAUAGCAAUGCUCAUACAAUAGCCCAGGUUACCAACCCUUUACUGGGGAAUCCAGCAGGUUCUUGGUUUCCUGUUUCUCAUGGUGGUGUUUUUUCUUCCGAGACGUAACUCAAGGCCCUUCUUCUAUAUCCAAGCAGCUAACUGACUAUACAAAGCAGCUAGCCGUAUAAAUAAUCUACUUAGUUAUGUAAAACAUCUAGUCUAGCGCACACUUUUGUUUAAAGGACUGUUGGCACCUGAUCCAACUGGUUGGAACUGGGACAGGAAACUUCACACAUUUUGAGAGCUGAGGGGUCUAUUCAAAUUAAAAGAGCUCUCCCAUAGGUAUGCAAAAAUAGCUAAGGGUAGGGUCAUCAGUCUCUUAGUCAUGUAGAAUGGCUAAGGGUUGGCCUAUCAUUCCUUCAGUUGUGCAAGGACAGCUAGAGGUGGCCCCUCUGCCAAGGCUGGGCCCAUCUCCUUACACUAUGCCUCAGUCCUACCAAAUAAAGUUCUGUACAGGUUUACUGAAAUCCACUUAAGCUGUACUAUGCAUAUCUACAUGAUGAAAGGUUCAGUAAGACUUUGAUAUCACUUUCAUAUGUACCUUUAAAUGAAAAUUUACUGCAACCUGGACAGCUGUUUUCUCUUCUCCUUUUUGGCUCUGAAAUUCUUUAUUACCACUACUGAUCAUCUCUGUAUACUUAGACUGAAUACCAAAGAUUUUAUUCUGUGUUACCUCAGGAUAUCCAUAUUUACAAGCCUUUGUAAAAACAAUCAUACCAAUCCUGAAGUCUAUCUUCACCUUGGCUGCUUAAAUUACAGUGUGGAAGCAAGAACAUGCUUGCCUACGCCAAUGAUGGGGUGCUUAAUCUUUCCAGCAAGGGUACUACAGAUAUAUUAUUUGAAUUAUGCCUGCCCCUUUAAAAUAUUAUUUAACUUUAUUUCUAUAAUUAACCCAAAUGCAGAGACCUAACUGGCAUACCCACUUUUCUCUCCUGUACAACGUUAUUUAUUCCUUUUCUUCUUUUUCCUCUGCCUUGAAAAUCUGCAUUAACUGAACCACUGACAAUUUUAAUAAA